rnacentral:tRNA from 1 species
AAAGCUUUAGCUUAAUUAAAGUGUCUGCUUUGCAAGCAGAGGAUGUGGGGUAGUAUCCCGCAAGUUUUA